UUAAGCCAAUCCCACAAAUCUGUUCUCAGUUCGGAUCGCAGUCUGCAACUCGACUGCGUGAAGCUGGAAUCGCUAGUAAUCGCGGAUCAGCAUGCCGCGGUGAAUACGUUCCCGGGCCUUGUACACACCGCCCGUCACACCACGAGAGUUUGUAACACCCGAAGUCGGUGAGGUAACCUUUAGGAGCCAGCC
rnacentral:rRNA from 1 species